UUUGUUUUUUUUCUCAAAGGAAGCUGAAGAUCAUCAUCCAGGCAGUUCCACGUCGUCGACUCCACCGAGACAAAAACCCUCUCAGCCUCAUUGGCUUCAAGUGCUUCUCAAAGGGCUCAAGCUUCCAGCUCUAGUAUUACAGGGAGGAGGAGGAGCCACACAGUGCCACAACUAUUCCACAACACGUUUAUAUCAUUAUCCCAGAUUCAGUGCCAUCAAAGACAUUAUUUGUCUUACUUUUUUUCAACUAGGUUGUGAUUGAGCUGGUGUCUUGGGAGAGGAAAGUGAAAGAAGGGCAGGAAUAUGUGGUGGAAGUGGACGAGCUGAGAGAAAGGAAGGAAACACGUCUUAUUCUAUGAAUCCUUUUUCUUUAAGCACACUCACCGGCUCUCUGCAUACACAGUGACGACUGAGUGCCAAACAAUGGAGACUGAAAUAGACAUGUUUUUGCAGUGGCUGGCUCACAAACAUCCAUCACUCCAGUCACAUCUGGGUCGACUAGUGCUGCCUGGAGCGCCUUGCUCCUGCCUCGCACAGGGAAAUUAAUUCAAUUUGAUAUCUGCAGAAAACAAUCAACAGCUCCUGACGGACAGGCUUCCAACAAAUGUACAGAGAUGUUUCUCAAAACACGUGGUUUGGCUGGAAACAAAUGUCAAAUAUCCAGGAACGGCAGGUUUGUUAACAGCGAAUGAAAUAACCUUUCAAUAAAACUGAGAAGGCCGUGAACACACGCUCCCUGGGUCAUGGAAAGAACAGAGUAAGCAGAUCUGUAUGACUGUUCUGUUUGAGUGCCUCGAUUUACAAUCUGUGUUAAGUCCUCAGACGCUGCUGCCCAGUUGGUCCAAAUCCCUGAUGCUUGUUUUUCAGCUGAAGUGGGUGAGGUGAGUGACCAAAGCAGAGAAGGUUAAGUCAGGACACCUGGGCCUGUGUUCUGCAAUCACUUAGUGCUUACUACAAAAAACUUCAGGAGCUGGUAGCCAAUUAGCAUAACUGUAGCUUGUAGUCAAUCUGUGACCUCUGCUGACCUCUGAGUUUGAUUGCUGUUUCAAAGGUUUGACCCCAUGACCUGAAUGAUGUUAGGUGUGAAGUGACUGAUGUACUUUUCAUUGCAUUUUGUAAAAUAAUAAUAAUUUGUUAUUACAUUUGCUAAGGCGUAUAAACAUAAUAUUAGGGUCUCUGACCUUUAUGCUUCAAAAUAAAAAUGGCUGCCAGCUACUCAUGUUGUGUAACAUUUAUUUUCAUGGCUCAAUUUGAACAAACCAACUCCAUUAGCUUUCUCUGCCUGAACACUGACAUUGUGUUAUUCUUCACAUGACAUUUUGUAUUAAAACAUCACCAAAAUAUUGCAACAACAACAACAACAACAACAACAACAAUAUAUAAUAAGAAUAAUGAUGUAUUAUUAUGUUGUUGUUGUUGUUGGCAGUCCACAAUGAACAUCCAUGUAUUCAAGGCCCAGUAUUAUUCCUCCAAAUAAAUAUUUUUUACUUUUUAAUUUUAUAUCCUGCAGACUGUCGCCGUCUACUGGCCAAAGAUAGAACACAACCCACUGCACUCUACAAGUGUUUGUCAGUCGUCAUGCGGCAUUCACGCUGUGCGGUAGCCAAUUUAGCUUUAGUUACACGGAUAUUAAAAAGCAAUUCAAGCAUUAUUUAAAGGGUCCGCCAACAACAUGUUAGGCCUUCUGCUGACGAAAGAGACCAACCGCACUCUUCAACAAGUUCAGCCCCAAAAGGCAUUAUGAAAUAAAAGGCUGAAGCGGGGACAUGUUAAGUGGACGGGGUCUGGACAAUUUCUGGACCUGGCUGUUUAAAUCCGUCGAUGCUGUAGGAGGUCAACCAAAUCAGAACAGGACCUACGAGAACAGUCAGGAACAUUGAAUGAAGACAUGUUGUGACUUACUGCACUGCAUCUGGACCUUCUCAUGUCGACCAACUGUGACAUUAUCUGUAAAUUUGACUGGAGAGCUCAGAUGGAAUUUUCCAGAAAAUGUCCACAGCAAGGAAAUUAUCUUUUUAUUAAGAACAGUUUAUUGAAAAUGUCCAGACAUUUGUUCGUUUUCUAAAAUAGCAGCAGAUACACAACAGGGUCUGUGUGAGGUCAAAUGAUGUUUGGUUGGAACAGCGCCCACUGUUGAGUGUUUUAGGAAAGCAGUGUUUAGAAUAGAAUUUGAUUAAAUAAUGGGACAGUGAUGAAUUCUGUGGCAUGUUCAGCCUGCUCACCAAACUGGAUUCAUCUGUGUGUUUUUGGUAAAUGAAUAGUGCAGCUAACUGCUGAAUCCUACGUCUGGCACCUGUCCGUUAACAAAAACUGCAGUAAAUGACAUGUGUUAAACUCUGGCCCGGGGGCCAAUUUUGGCCCAUAGUGUAAUUAUAUUUGCCAGAUCAUAUCAAAUGUGUACUAGAGUUGGCCCGCAAGUAUAUAGCUAUAUACCCUAUAUACUGACAGGAUUUGUAGUAUUAGCGGUAAAUGUUAUAGCGCAUACAUUUUGUUGUUAUUGUUGGCCUGUGAAAAAAAAGAUUUACAUUAAUAAGGAACUUGACAGACAACAGAUAAAGAAACAUAAUCAGAACCAAAUACCACUGAUGUGUGUUUUAUUUCAAAUUGAAUUUCUCCUGUGUUUAUAAUAUUAAGCUUUGGUUGUUCCAGAUUCAAUGUUUACGCAAAACAAAAUGUUCCUUUGUACAAAAGGUGAACUCUGAACACCUGGACAUCUGUCAGUGAGAGGGAGUGAACCAGGACGCAAAACUACCAUCUCAUUUCCUUCUCCUGUGUCUUCCUCAUAUUCUGUUUCACUAGAGUGCUAAAUUUAACUUUAAUCGUUCAUCGACGAUGACAUCAUGCUUCUCUCCAGUUGUUUGAGUAAAUGUUGAGUGAGUCAGUUUUCAUUAGAAAAACUCAGUGAACCGCCAAACAUAUACACACAAACAUUACUUGAAAUAAAAGAUCCCGCUGAGCUAGUUUCGGGGUACUCCCGAUUUACAAACAAAAAGUAUGAAACCUGUAUAGUUGAACAGACGAACAAGACAAAUUAAUUGCAGGAAGUAAAAAUUAGUGUUCAGAACAACUUUAUAGAUAAUUUCCCAUGAUACACCUGGCGAUCUCUCACGGCACAAUAAUGUGCCGCAACACAGCGGUUGGGAAACCUUAGUUUAAAUCGAUAUGUCCUUCUGUCUCCAUGAACAGUUUGGUGUUAGAUUUCCGAUGUCCAUCUGUCUAUCUUCAUCCCUUACUUCACUUGAUUCACUCAAAUGUUCCAACUCCACACAGAGCAGAUUUAAAAAGUCUUCACAUAAAAAUGCUCAUGAAAUGCCCAUGUCUUUUUUUAAAAAAAAAACUCAUCAACUCGGGGUUUCAGUAAAAUCUAAAUAUUCUCGAUGGGAUGUGUAGUUCUAGAAGUCACCACAGGGUAAAAUUACUAAGAGUCUAAUGCUUACGUUUCAAUUAACCAAAACCACCUCCCGCUCGCCUGUUUGCACCAUCGAGGCAUCGUGCUGCAUCAUGAGACACAAAUAUUAACAAUGUAAACAUACUGUGUCUUUUUAUGUUUAAACAAAGCGCCCCUCCCUCUUUGUGUGACCUAUAGUGGCAACUGAGGACACGCUACAUGCUGUGUGCAAACUGGGUUGGGUUCUGAAUGUUCUGAAUGACUGAAAGACACAAGGCUAGCACAAAGGGUCUGUGUGUGUUGACAAUAUAUACUAUAUGUCAGAAAAAGAGCAAAAAUAAACUGGCAUUCAAAUACAAAUGAAUCUGUCAUGUGUCAUUGAUGACAAACAGGGUUUUUUCUGAUGA